GAUGAAGAACGUAGCGAAAUGCGAUAAGUAGUGUGAAUUGCAGAAUUCAGUGAAUCAUCGAGUCUUUGAACGCACAUUGCGCCCCCUGGUAUUCCGGGGGGCAUGCCUGUCCGAGCGUCAUUGCUGCCCUCAAGCACGGCUUGUGUGUUGGGCCUCCGUCCUCCUCCCGGGGGACGGGCCCGAAAGGCAGCGGCGGCACCGCGUCCGGUCCUCGAGCGUAUGGGGCUUCGUCACCCGCUCUUGUAGGCCCGGCCGGCGCUUGCCGACACAUCAAUCUUUUUUCCAGGUUGACCUCGGAUCAGGUAGGGAUACCCGCUGAACUUAAGCAUAUCAAUAAGCGGGGA
rnacentral:misc_RNA from 1 species